rnacentral:rRNA from 1 species
CCAGUUGUCCUGCCAAGGGCAUGGCUGGGUAGCUAUGUACGGAAUGGAUAAGCGCUGAAAGCAUCUAAGCGCGAAGCCAACUUCAAGAUAAGAUUUCCCACCGCAAGGGUAAGACUCCAGAAAGACUAUCUGGUUGAUAGGUCGAAGGUGUAAGUGCAGCAAUGUAUUUAGCUUAUCGAUACUAAUAGGUCGAGGACUUGACCAAUAUUUAUU